AGUCAUAAGGUGCUGGCUUGGAACUGCUCUGCAUGGUGUCCUACCUUCUUUUGAAACUAGAUGGUUCUGCACGGCCCAGCGUCUGCUUUCUAUUUCUGUGGUUCAGACACGACUGUUUGUUAAGAUAAUGAUGGAGAACACUGACAUCUGGCACACAUGGGACUUAUGGAUUUUGCUGACUAUUUUUGAAAGCUCUAUAGGACGUGUGGGAGCUUUGAGACUUCAGACAGAAGGUAGAAUGUGAAUCAUGGAGCCACCAGUGCUCAGAGCUCCCUUCCAAACCAAGGGAAAUAACAAGAAGUUGGCGACCUCUCAAGGUUACUGUCAGGAGCCACUGGCAUUCAACCGAAGUUAUUGUAUGCACAUACCAAAGUGACCAGUCUUCCCCAGAGCCAGAAAGCUAGUUUAAUGCUGCAGUGUGAGAUUCGUGACUUUAAUUCUGGGAAAGAAAGGCUUGCAAGACCCUCUUCUUCCAACACCUGAACUGCAGGCAGGCUCCCAAGCCUUGGGUCACAAGGAAUGCAAAGAUGUCCUGGCAGCCUUUGAAUCCGUGAGACUUCUUGGUAGUAUGAGAGAGAUACUUUUCCAUGAGCACUUAGGUAGAGAGAGAACCAAAUUUCACUAUAAAAAUAUUACUAACUUGCCAAAGGCACAUGCCAGUUCUUAAGGAAGACAAUCUGAGCUACCUCCACAUCACAGGAAUAAAAAGGCCCCCUUCCUCCCCAGACUAACAGUCUGAGUGAGUGUCCCAGUGACUGUGCAGUAGACUUUCUUCAGAACCAAGGUGGGGUCAGAGGAGCCUCUGUCUUCUUACAGCAGUCCUGAAGCAGGGACAAGAAAACUUUGCUUUUAUAUUUGAACUUUAGAAUUCUCACUACUCUUGAAGGUUUAUGAUGAAGGUUUGGGGUUCUGGUGUCUCCCCAUUCUCCACCUCAGCAACCUUCAAGUCCAGCUAAGAGGCUGAUUCUGCUGAAGGCCGAUAAUGAAUUUUCAUUGAGGGGAGGAGCUGCUGCAGGGAGCGAUAACACGCUUGAAUGGUGAGCAGUUCCACUCCCCCAGCCUUUUGCAACUGUCCACUGAUACAGCCAUGGGAAGAACAGAGGUGGCUUUGGAAACCCCAUCUGCCUGGAGCUGGAGCAGGGAGCAGCUGGACCCAGCCAUGGUCGACUGGGAGGGUGACAGUGGCAGACCAGAAACCAACACUAAUCACAUGGCUUCUGGGAGAAACCUGGGAGCAUGUGAUAUGCAGAUGAAGUAUCUCCAGAGACAACCAAAAAGAGGUGGAGGGACAAAGACUAUGAUUGACAUCAGGAGUCCACAAAUUCCAGUUGGUGCUAUACAGUAGAACGUAGCCACACUGCUGGUCCAUGUUCGCUGAGGUCUUUCUGUCACUGUGAAGUCAACCUACGACACUGUCAUUUAUCCAAUGACAUAAUGCCUCAUGGUUAAACAUCAUUGUCAUUUGUCUAGAUUUCCAUAACCAUGGAAACACACCCCUAGGUUCCCAGAAAGAUUUUAUUGAAGAGGAUAGACCUACCCUGAAUGUGAGUGGUACCUUGAGGUUCUGGAUCACAUAAAAAGGAAACUCAAGCUUGGCACUAGACGUCAUCUCUUUGCUUCCUGACUGGAUACAACAUGAACAAUGGCCUUACUCUCCUGCCCUAUCUAUACACCAAAAUAAACUCUGACUUGAGAAGUAAAGUGACUAACACAUGCCUCUAGUCACUGGAGUCUAGUGUCCAUUGAUGGAGUCUGGUGCCCUUCGAAUGUACUUUGAAUGAAGGAACAAAGGCGGAAGAGGCACGGAUAUGACAGAGGCAACGUGGACACUGGUAUCUGAGGGAAAAAUGAUAAGGAAAGCAUCCGUACAUGCUCAGGAUAAUUGGAGGCUCCCUGGUACUUCCAAUACACAGGAAACUGAAACCGUGCAUGCAGAAUCUACAGAUGGAGAGGUCGUCUGCACUUGGGAAAGGAUAUCUUGUGGAGUGAAGAAUUCAUGGCAACAGAGUCAGGACCUUCAGCAAGGACCAGAGGAUGGAAGAGACAACACAGAAGUAAUCUAAUGGGACAACGCUGUCCUAGGAGCCAGGAGCCACUCACGUGGCUCCAAUUGCUUUAUUAAAUCAAGAUUAUGGCGAGUAUGGAAGCUGAGAGGCCUGUCCAUAAACAAUCUCAGCCACCUGGUUGGAAGAGGAUGCAGCUUGGAGCAGAUAUGGAGACGGUGGGAAGUUAUCGUUUUGAUCCUGUAGGAAUUAUUUGAAGAAUGGGAGUGGGGUAUACAAUAGAAAUUCCAAAUGACUUUCCUGUGCUUCACCUGAGCUAUUAGAACACUGAAACUGCCUUUGGUUGGAAAGAGGAAAACCAAGCAAGAGAGAGUUCUGGAGAGAGUAUCUUAAAGAAGAGCUAGGGGUUGAUGACAUUAAUGAAUGAGGUGCCCCACAGCCAUCUAAACAGAGACACAAGAUUCUUAGGGAGUCAAGAGAAAGGUUGGGCCUAGACAUGAAAAUCUGCUAGUUUCUAACAUGUAAAAAUAGUUAAGAAAAUGUGUAACCCCAUCACUGAAGUUCAUAAUGAUGGAAAAACUUACUCAAAGUAUUCAAGUUAAUCAAAAUACAGCUUACUGAUAGACAGUAUCAUAUCACCUAGGAACACAUUAGCUAUGUAAAUCCGUAGGCUUAUCUCUACCCUUGGAAUCAGAUAUUCCUUGGGUAGGGCCCUGCACUUGUGUACAGUAAGCCUUCCAGGUGUUUCCUUUGCCUACUAAAAUUUGAGAACCACUGAUAUAGAAAUUAGAGAGCAAAGACGAAAGCCAAGGGAAAGCCCAGAGAGGAAGAAGACCAGAAGGCAUGGGGUACUGGAAAUCAAGCCGACAAAGCACUGCAAGUAGAAGAGGCAUCCAUGCUGUGCCAUGCCCCCAAGAACUACACACAUUGUCUCCAAGGAACUACACACAUUGUCUCCAAGGUGGAGGGCAUUCCGUCAUCUAUCAAAACUAGACAGUGCAUUUCCAUAGCACUGUGUUUGAUCUGGUCCAGAUGAAGAAAAUAAGAAGAGAGGCUGAAAGGAGCAAAGGAGCAAGUGGGAGAAGCAAGAUGGAGUGCCAGUUACAAGCCAUGAGCAUCCACCCAGGUGCUCACCCACAGUAAAAAGCAAGAAGAUGACAUGGAUGAACAGCGUGCUUGGUUGUCAUCCCAGACCCUUAGAGACAGAAACACUGUGAACUCCAAGACAGCAAGGACUACAUAGUAAGACUUUGUGUCAAGACGAAUCUUGUAUUUACUGUGAGAAAAAAAUGUGGAAAAGAAG
ensembl:lincRNA 5330416C01Rik RIKEN cDNA 5330416C01 gene